rnacentral:rRNA from 1 species
UACGUAGGUGGCAAGCGUUGUCCGGAAUUAUUGGGCGUAAAGCGUCCGCAGGUGGCACUUCAAGUCUGCUGUCAAAGACCGGGGCUUAACCCUGGAAAGGCAGUGGAAACUGAAGCGCUAGAGUGUGGCAGGGGUAGAGGGAAUUCCCGGUGUAGCGGUGGAAUGCGCAGAUAUCAGGAGGAACACCGGUGGCGAAGGCGGGAUCCUGGGCCAGUACUGACGCUGAGGAGCGAAAGCGUGGGGAGCAAACAGG